rnacentral:rRNA from 1 species
GAUGAACGCUGGCGGCGCGCCUAACACAUGCAAGUCGAACGAUUAAAGCACCUUCGGGUGUGUAUAAAGUGGCGAACGGCUGAGUAACACGUGGGCAACCUGCCCCUUUCAUUGGGAUAGCCACGGGAAACCGUGGAUAAUACCGAAUACUUCGAGACUUCCGCAUGGAAGACUCGAGAAAGCUCCGGCGGAGAGGGAUGGGCCCGCGGCCUGUUAGCUUGUUGGUGGGGUAACGGCCUACCAAGGCAAUGAUGGGUAGCUGGGUUGAGAGACCGACCAGCCAGAUUGGGACUGAGACACGGCCCAGACUCCUACGGGAGGCAGCAGUGGGGAAUCUUGCACAAUGGGCGAAAGCCUGAUGCAGCGACGCCGCGUGCGGGAUGAAGGCCUCCGGGUUGUAAACCGCUUUCAGCAGGGACGAGGCGAAAGUGACGGUACCUGCAGAAGAAGCCCCGGCUAACUACGUG